rnacentral:rRNA from 1 species
CCAUGGCUCAGAUUGAACGCUGGCGGCAGGCCUAACACAUGCAAGUCGAGCGGCAGCGGGAAAGUAGCUUGCUACUUUUGCCGGCGAGCGGCGGACGGGUGAGUAAUGCCUGGGGAUCUGCCCAGUCGAGGGGGAUAACAGUUGGAAACGACUGCUAAUACCGCAUACGCCCUACGGGGGAAAGGAGGGGACCUUCGGGCCUUUCGCGAUUGGAUGAACCCAGGUGGGAUUAGCUAGUUGGUGGGGUAAUGGCUCACCAAGGCGACGAUCCCUAGCUGGUCUGAGAGGAUGAUCAGCCACACUGGAACUGAGACACGGUCCAGACUCCUACGGGAGGCAGCAGUGGGGAAUAUUGCACAAUGGGGGAAACCCUGAUGCAGCCAUGCCGCGUGUGUGAAGAAGGCCUUCGGGUUGUAAAGCACUUUCAGCGAGGAGGAAAGGUUGGUGCCUAAUACGUAUCAGCUGUGACGUUACUCGCAGAAGAAGCACCGGCUAACU